rnacentral:RNase_P_RNA from 1 species
UGGCGCGGCAGCGCGGCCGCGGGGUGCCCUCGAAAGAGCGUGCCCCGAGGAAAGUCCGAGCACGGCAGGACACGGUGGUGGGUAACGCCCACCCGCCCGGAUCGCUCCCGGGCGAGGGACAGUGCCACAGAGAACAGACCGCCGAUGGCCCGAAAGGGAUCAGGCAAGGGUGAAACGGUGCGGUAAGAGCGCACCGCUCGGCCGGUGACGGCCGGGGCACGGCAAACCCCACCGCGUGCAAGAUCAUGCAGCACCCGCCGCGGGCAACCGCGGACGACCUGUCCGGUCGGAAGGGGGCGGGUGGAUCGCUCGAGCCCGUCGGCGACGCCGGGCCCAGAGAAAUGGCCGCGGCCCGCGGCAGGUCCGCGAGGAAACCGCCGCGGGCACAGAACUCGGCUUACCGCCGCGCCAGAAC